rnacentral:rRNA from 1 species
UACGGAGGGUGCAAGCGUUAUCCGGAUUCACUGGGUUUAAAGGGUGCGUAGGCGGGCAGGUAAGUCAGUGGUGAAAUCUCCGGGCUUAACCCGGAAACUGCCGUUGAUACUAUCUGUCUUGAAUAUCGUGGAGGUAAGCGGAAUAUGUCAUGCAGCGGUGAAAUGCUUAGAUAUGACAUAGAACACCGAUUGCGAAGGCAGCUUACUACACGAUCAUUGACGCUGAGGCACGAAAGCGUGGGGAGCAAACAGG